rnacentral:lncRNA from 1 species
GUAUAUUAAACUUUGGUUUAUAUCAAUACAUUAAUAUUUGACUUUAGAGAAAAACCUUGAGUAGAUUUUACUGAUUGUGUUACUUAUGUAUAACCAACUUAAUCACACACAAACCUUUUAAAAUUUACAUUUCAUUUAUAUAGACAUUUUUAUCACUUAAUUAUAUUCUUUUUUUUAAUUUAGAUGUUUUACAACUUUACUACAUAAAGAGUCUCUUACCCAGUGGAAGGUCCUAGCUUAGCAUCUGGAUGACCAUCUUAAGCAUCAGCUGCCAUCUUAAGAAAAAGCUGAUGCCCAAUGUGGUACCUGAACAUCUGAAACAGGGACCAUUCUGGAUGUAUUAAUGGAGAAGGGAGUAGCUUAUCACCUGGAGCAGGCUGAUGCGUGACUUUCAUCAGCUGGUACUGAUCCCCAUUGGUGUGCAGCCUCAUCUGUCCUGCAUCAUUUGGCAAUCCACAUGGGAUGGAAAUGGUGAAGUUGCCUCUCUUGUCUCUGGAGUCUGGGAUGUUGGAGGACAUUGCUUCCCCUUAGCACACCACAGAGGC